GUCUAUGGCCCUGCAACCCUGAACGCACCCUGGUCUUGGAAGCUAAGCAGGGUCAGGCCUGGUUAGUACUUGGAUGGAAGAAAGAUCUUCAGAGGAGACUGCUCAGAGACA
rnacentral:rRNA from 1 species